UACGGAGGAUGCGAGCGUUAUCCGGAUUUAUUGGGUUUAAAGGGUGCGUAGGCGGGCUUUUAAGUCAGCGGUAAAAAUUCGGGGCUCAACCCCGUCCGGCCGUUGAAACUGGGGGCCUUGAGUGGGCGAGAAGAAGGCGGAAUGCGUGGUGUAGCGGUGAAAUGCAUAGAUAUUACGCAGAACCCCGAUUGCGAAGGCAGCCUUCCGGCGCCCUACUGACGCUGAGGCACGAAAGUGCGGGGAUCGAACAGG
rnacentral:rRNA from 1 species